AUGCAAGUCGAACGAUAAAGGAUUCUUCGGAGACCGAGUAACGUGGCGCCCGGGUGAGUAACGCGUAGAUAACCUGUCCUUGUGUUUGGGAUAACCCUUCUAAAGGGGGAUUAAUACCUAAUAUAUUCCUACCUGUUGGGGUAUGAAGUAAAGGUGGCCUCUAUUUAUAAGCUAUCGCGGGGGUAUGAGUCUGCCAACCGGUAGUUAAUUGUCGGGGUAAUGGCCUACCAUAUGAACUAUGGUAUGAUGGGCCUGACAGGAUGAUCCGGGAUUUUGACACUGAAACACGGGCCAGCACUCCUACGGGAUGCAGCAGUGAGGAAUAUUGUGCAAUGUGCGAAACCCUGGCACAGCGACGCCGUGUGAGUGAGGAAGGCCGUCCUUCCUUUAAGCUCUGUCAGCAGGUAAGAAAUGUUAUAUGGUUUAUACCCUUACAAUUUGACUGGACCUACACCAGGAAGCACCGGCUUAAUCAAUGCCAG
rnacentral:rRNA from 1 species